UAACCUGCCUGUAAGACUGGGAUAACUCCGGGAAACCGGGGCUAAUACCGGAUGGUUGUUUGAACCGCAUGGUUCAAACAUAAAAGGUGGCUUCGGCUACCACUUACAGAUGGACCCGCGGCGCAUUAGCUAGUUGGUGAGGUAACGGCUCACCAAGGCAACGAUGCGUAGCCGACCUGAGAGGGUGAUCGGCCACACUGGGACUGAGACACGGCCCAGACUCCUACGGGAGGCAGCAGUAGGGAAUCUUCCGCAAUGGACGAAAGUCUGACGGAGCAACGCCGCGUGAGUGAUGAAGGUUUUCGGAUCGUAAAGCUCUGUUGUUAGGGAAGAACAAGUACCGUUCGAAUAUGGCGGUACCUUGACGGUACCUAACCAGAAUGCCACGGCUAACUACAUGCCAUCAGCCGCGGUAAUACGUAUGUGGCAAGCGUUGUACGGAAUUAUUGGGCGUAAAGGGCUCGCAGGCGCUUUCUUAAGUCUUAUGUGAAAGCCCCCGG
rnacentral:rRNA from 1 species